rnacentral:rRNA from 1 species
GAUGAACGCUGGCGGCGUGCCUAAUACAUGCCAGUCGAGCGAACAGACGAGGAGCUUGCUCCUCUGACGUUAGCGGCGGACGGGUGAGUAACACGUGGAUAACCUACCUAUAAGACUGGGAUAACUUCGGGAAACCGGAGCUAAUACCGGAUAAUAUAUUGAACCGCAUGGUUCAAUAGUGAAAGACGGUUUUGCUGUCACUUAUAGAUGGAUCCGCGCCGCAUUAGCUAGUUGGUAAGGUAACGGCUUACCAAGGCAACGAUGCGUAGCCGACCUGAGAGGGUGAUCGGCCACACUGGAACUGAGACACGGUCCAGACUCCUACGGGAGGCAGCAGGAGGGAAUCUUCCGCAAUGGGCGAAAGCCUGACGGAGCAACGCCGCGGGAGUGAUGAAGGUCUUCGGAUCGUAAAACUCUGUUAUUAGGGAAGAACAAAUGUGUAAGUAACUAUGCACGUCUUGACGGUACCUAAUCAGAAAGCCACGGCUAACUACGU